GAUUCGUCACACUAUCAUUAACUGAAUCCAUAGGUUAAUGAGGCGAACCGGGGGAACUGAAACAUCUAAGUACCCCGAGGAAAAGAAAUCAACCGAGAUUCCCCCAGUAGCGGCGAGCGAACGGGGAGGAGCCCAGAGCCUGAAUCAGCAUGUGUGUUAGUGGAAGCGUCUGGAAAGGCGCGCGAUACAGGGUGACAGCCCCGUACACAAAAGCGCAUGUGCUGUGAGCUCGAUGAGUAGGGCGGGACACGUGGUAUCCUGUCUGAAUAUGGGGGGACCAUCCUCCAAGGCUAAAUACUCCUGACUGACCGAUAGUGAACCAGUACCGUGAGGGAAAGGCGAAAAGAACCCCGGCGAGGGGAGUGAAAAAGAACCUGAAACCG
rnacentral:rRNA from 2 species